rnacentral:rRNA from 1 species
AGCGAACGCUGGCGGCAGGCCUAACACAUGCAAGUCGAACGAAGUCUUCGGACUUAGUGGCGGACGGGUGAGUAACACGUGGGAACGUGCCUUUAGGUUCGGAAUAACUCAGGGAAACUUGUGCUAAUACCGAAUGUGCCCUUCGGGGGAAAGAUCUAUCGCCUUUAGAGCGGCCCGCGUCUGAUUAGCUAGUUGGUGAGGUAAAGGCUCACCAAGGCUACGAUCAGUAGCUGGUCUGAGAGGAUGACCAGCCACAUUGGGACGGAGACACGGCCCAAACUCCUACGGGAGGCAGCAGGGGGAAAUCUUGCGCAAUGGGCGAAAGCCUGACGCAGCCAUGCCGCGUGGAGGAUGAAGGUCUUAGGAUUGUAAAAUCCUUUCACCGGUGAAGAUAAUGACUGUAGCCGGAGAAGAAGCCCCGGCUAACUUCGUGCCAGCCGCCGCCGUAAUAC